rnacentral:rRNA from 1 species
UACAGAGGUCUCAACCGUUGUUCGGAUUCAUUGGGCGUAAAGGGUGCGUAGGCGGCGGGGUAAGUCAGGUGUGAAAUCUCGGGGCUCAACCCCGAAACUGCACUUGAUACUGCUUCGCUUGAGUACUGGAGAGGAGACUGGAAUUUACGGUGUAGCAGUGAAAUGCGUAGAUAUCGUAAGGAAGACCAGAGGCGAAGGCGAGUCUCUGGACAGUUACUGACGCUGAGGCACGAAGGCCAGGGGAGCAAACGGG